UACGGAGGGUGCAAGCGUUAUCCGGAUUCACUGGGGUUAAAGGGUGCGUAGGUGGGAAGGUAAGUCAGUGGUGAAAUCCCCGAGCUUAACUUGGGAACUGCCAUUGAUACUAUCUUUCUUGAAUACCUUGGAGGUGAGCGGAAUAUGUCAUGUAGCGGUGAAAUGCUUAGAUAUGACAUAGAACACCAAUUGCGAAGGCAGCUCACUACACGGUCAUUGACACUGAGGCACGAAAGCGUGGGGAUCAAACAGG
rnacentral:rRNA from 1 species